rnacentral:rRNA from 1 species
GACGAACGCUGGCGGCGUGCUUAACACAUGCAAGUCGAACGGAAAGGCCCUGCUAUUGUGGGGUGCUCGAGUGGCGAACGGGUGAGUAACACGUGAGUAACCUGCCCUUGACUUUGGGAUAACUUCAGGAAACUGGGGCUAAUACCGGAUAGGAGCUCCUGCUGCAUGGUGGGGGUUGGAAAGUUUCGGCGGUUGGGGAUGGACUCGCGGCUUAUCAGCUUGUUGGUGGGGUAGUGGCUUACCAAGGCUUUGACGGGUAGCCGGCCUGAGAGGGUGACCGGGCACAUUGGGACUGAGAUACGGCCCAGACUCCUACGGGAGGCAGCAGUGGGGAGUAUUGCACAAUGGGCGGAAGCCUGAUGCAGCGACGCCGCGUGCGGGAUGACGGCCUUCGGGUUGUAAACCGCUUUCGCCUGUUACGAAGCGUGAGUGACGGUAAUGGGUAAAGAAGCACCGGCUAACUACGUG